rnacentral:rRNA from 1 species
CAGUAGCCACGGGAAUACGUAGGUGGCAAGCGUUGUCCGGAAUUAUUGGGCGUAAAGGGAGCGCAGGCGGACAUAUAAGUCCAUCUUAAAAGUGCGGGGCUCAACCCCGUGAGGGGAUGGAAACUGUAUGCCUUGAGUGCAGGAGAGGAAAGCGGAAUUCCCAGUGUAGCGGUGAAAUGCGCAGAGAUAUGGAGGAACACCAGUGGCGAAGGCGACUUUCUGGUCUGUAACUGACGCUGAUGUGCGUAAGCGUGGGGAUCAAACAGGAUUAGAGACCCCAGUAGUCCCUGUCUCUUAUACA